GUCCUAUUGCCCUAGUUUCUAAAUUAGACUAAUUAAGAUCUAACUUUCUAGUCCCAAGAGUGGACCUAUAGCAAUUAUUUUUUCCCCUUUAAUUAAAUGGGUACUUAUAUAGAGACAUAUGUAAGACAGUACUUGUAAGACAUAGUCAAGCUUAAAUUCUAGCUCCAAUGUCUCCCCUUAACUAGAGGAAUGAAAGAGAUGAUAUGUGGCCAAAGAGUUAGGUGUUAUAUUUUCUCCGCAUUCCCUAGGUAGGAUUCAAGGCGAAUGGGUCACAUUACUAAGAAAACAGUUCUGUUUUUUGGCUGUUCCAGGAGAGGUCCAUCACUGCAUGUCAGACAAGAUGGAUGCACAUAUAUAACCCUUCGAGGUGAUAUAAAGUUAAGGAAAUCAAGUUAAGAAGGAGCUGCCUGGAUUGCACCAAAUCAUUGCACAAGGCAAUAGGGCAAUGUAUCUACACUUUCACUAUUGAGUUCUAGGUUUUUGCUUCUUUCUUCCAAGAAGUGAUACCAAGGUAGAAACAAGUUGAAAAAAAUGAGGAUAUAAAACUAAAUAAGUAACUAUUUAUACUGACUUUAGCAAUCAGCAGGAAAAGCAAUUUGGUCAGCAAUUUCCAGGAGUUCUUUCAAGAUUGAACCCUUUUAUAUACAAAUCAUAUUCUCCACUUUCAUGUUUCCAUUUUUUUGUAUAUAGCUGAAUUUUCUGUCAUUAGCUUCAAAAAGAUCAAUCUGACCUGCAAGUAAUUUUAUGGCUGCUAAAGAAAACUCAACUCUAUUUUUUUUUAAAGGGCAACAGAUUUUUUUUUAAGAUUUAUUUAUUUAUUUGCGAGAGGGAGAGAGAGAGGGGGAGAGAGAGAGAGAAAGAAAGAGAGAGAGAAUGAGCGGAGGAGGGGCAGAGUAGAGGGAGGCAAGCAGACUCCUGACUGAGCGGGGGGAGCCCCACCAGGGCUCAAUUCUAGAACCCUACGAUCAUGACUUGAGCUGAAACCAAGAGUCAGAAGCUUAACCAAGUGAGCCAUCCCUCAUCUCUCUUUAAAGGCAGAUAACAAAAUCCAAAAUAUAGCAACAUACUAACAAUAAUAACAAUACCUAGCAUCCAAUCACACUGCUACAUAUUUUAAAAUGCAGAAAAUGUGAUCCACAAAUAAAAGGAAAGUCAAUAAAUUGAAAAAUAAACCC
rnacentral:lncRNA from 12 species